ACAGCUUAUACAGGUUUCUAUUUAUGUUAGUAAUGAGCAUGUAGGUACGUUGUCAAGACUUAAACAAGCAUGCUUUUCUGAGGUAGGAAUACUAGGGGGAGAAGUUUCAUGAUCAGAACAUAAAAGGUUGAGCCACUGUAGUGGUUCAUCAAGAUUUUUUAACUUGAUUUGGUUGUGGAAAUAAUGGAAAAAGGUGGUCAAUACUCUUUUUCAGAAUGACAAGACAUCUUCUAAAAAACCAUGGUCACAAGAGCUGUCCAACUUGAAAGUCUUGCAGUGAAGACUUUGGAUGUGAUUUCUACUAUUAUACUGAGUAAUUCACAGUAGUGAUGAAAUGUUCCAAAAAGUCUUUGUAUGGUUUACUUGCUUGUGUAUUGUUGACAUUAGUGUACAGACCUGUCUACUUCACAACUGUGUUAAUUUUCCACUGUCCCAACUUUUACAUCAGUUAUCAAAAGGAGAAGAAAGCAAGGGCUUCCUGCAUACUUGGGUCUUUGGUGAAACAACUCGUGCGGGCACUAAUUCCAGAACCUGAAUUUAUUUUUCCUUAGCACCAACAUUUACCACUUGACUUGCAAGCUGAAUAAAGAUCUACUAACCAUGACAGAAUGGCACAGAUACAAAAAUAUUCUAAAUUAUGCAGUUCUUAUAAUAACUAUUUUAAAAAUAGUUCAUUGUAUUGAUCUAUGAAUUACACUUAAGACAGUGAGAAAUAUGUUACAUCAAGAAAAAUACAUCUACUUGUAUAAUAAAGAUCUCUGUCCAAGUUACUUUCAGUUACUUUCUAAAGUAAUUUAUUACCAGGUACAGCAUUACCAUUUGUAACAGAAAAAUAAAUUAUUUUGAUCAUGCCACUUGA